ensembl:snoRNA SNORD27 Small nucleolar RNA SNORD27
ACUCCAUGAUGAACGGUAAAAUGACAAGCAUAUGCCUGAACUCAAAAAAGUGAUGUCAUCUUAACUACUGAGAAGU